rnacentral:rRNA from 1 species
AUACGUAGGGGGCGAGCGUUGUCCGGAAUGAUUGGGCGUAAAGGGCGCGUAGGCGGCGCGGUAAGUCUGGAGUGAAAGUCCUGCUUUCAAGGUGGGAAUUGCUUUGGAUACUGCCGCGCUUGAGUGCAGGAGAGGUUAUCGGAAUUCCCGGUGUAGCGGUGAAAUGCGUAGAGAUCGGGAGGAACACCAGUGGCGAAGGCGGGUAACUGGACUGCAACUGACGCUGAGGCGCGAAAGUGUGGGGAGCAAACAGGAUUAGAUACCCUGGUAGUCCACACUGUAAACGAUGAAUGCUAGGAGUAAGAGGUAUCGACCCCUGUUGUGCCGCAGUCAACACAAUAAGCAUUCCGCCUGGGGAGUACGGACGCAAGGUUGAAACUCAAAUGAAUUGACGGG